GGGGAUGUGGCCCAGUUGGUAGAGCGCUUGCUUUAUUGUGCAAGAAGCCUAGGUUCGAUUCCCAGUGCCG
rnacentral:tRNA from 1 species